rnacentral:lncRNA from 1 species
GUGGAGUCCUACUCCCACCUUCCUGGCUCUCCUUUAGUUUUCCCUCAUUUCUAAUCAGUCAACACAUUUUUUUUUUUUUUUACCAGAAGUAUUUAUUGAUGGAUCAAAGGCUAUAAUUUUAAUGGGACAACUGUGGAUUAAAAGUUUGCUGUACAGCCAAAGGUGGAAAAAGCCAUAAUCUUAGGAACUUUAUGUAAAUCAAGGAGCCUCUGAAGUACCUAAGAGGGGACACCUCAUCCAAAAGAAGUACACAGACUGAAAGUGAAAGGAUGGAAAACAAUACUCCAUUCAACAGGAGCCUGAAAACAAGCAGGAGUGG